UGACGUACGGUCAGUAACACGUAGUCAACCUGCCCUGGAGACAUGGACAACCCGGGAAACUGGGAUUAAUCCGUGAUAGGUCAUCUCAUCUGGAAGGAGAGAUGGCUUAAAGGGGUGCGAGAGCUUCUUUCUUGCAUUCGCUCCAGGAUGGGACUGCGGCCGAUCAGGCUGUUGGUGGGGUAAUGGCCCACCAAACCUGUAACCGGUACGGGCCUUGAGAGAGGGGGCUCGGAGAUGGACACUGAGAGAAGGGUCCAGGUCCUACGGGGCGCAGCAGGCGCGAAACCUUCGCAAUGCGCGAAAGCGUGACGAGGUUAAUCCGAGUGGUCCCCGCUGAGGGGAUCUUUUGUCGGCUGUAAAAAGGCCGGUGAAUAAGGGGAGGGCAAGUCUGGUGUCAGCCGCCGCGGUAAUACCAGCUCCUCGAGUGGUCGAGGCGAUUAUUGGGCCUAAAGCAUCCGUAGCCUGUUCUGUAGGUCCUCUGUUAAAUCCAACGGCUUAACCGUUGGCCUGCAGAGGAUACCGCAGGACUAGGAGGCGGGAGAGGUGGACGGUACUCCACGUGUAGGGGUAAAAUCCUUUGAUCCGUGGAAGACCACCAGUGGCGAAGGCGGUCCACCAGAACGCGCUCGACGGUGAGGGAUGAAAGCUGGGGGAGCGAACCGGAUUAGAUACCCGGGUAGUCCCAGCCGUAAACGAUGCAAGCUAGAUGAUCCGGUCGCAAAUCGCGAUCGGAGUGUCGCAGGGAAGCCGUUAAGCUUGCCGCCUGGGGAGUUCAGUCGCAGACUGAACUUAAACCA
rnacentral:rRNA from 1 species